UACGUAGGGGGCAAGCGUUGUCCGGAAUCAUUGGGCGUAAAGCGCGUGUAGGCGGUCCGAUAAGUCGGUUGUGAAAGUCAAGGGCUCAACCCUUGAAUGCCGACCGAUACUGUCGGGCUAGAGUCCGGAAGAGGUGAGUGGAAUUCCUGGUGUAGCGGUGAAAUGCGCAGAUAUCGGGAGGAACACCGGUGGCGAAGGCGGUUCUCUGGGCCUUACCUGACGCUGAGGAGCGAAAGCGUGGGGAGCGAACAGG
rnacentral:rRNA from 1 species